UACGUAGGGUGCAAGCGUUGUCCGGAAUUAUUGGGCGUAAAGAGCUCGUAGGCGGUUUGUCGCGUCGAAUGUGAAAACCCGGGGCUCAACCCCGGGCCUGCAUUCGAUACGGGCAGACUAGAGUUCGGUAGGGGAGUCUGGAAUUCCUGGUGUAGCGGUGGAAUGCGCAGAUAUCAGGAGGAACACCGAUGGCGAAGGCAGGUCACUGGGCCGCAACUGACGCUGAGGAGCGAAAGCAUGGGGAGCGAACAGG
rnacentral:rRNA from 1 species